GGAUUUUUGAGGGAUGUGGUCUUUUGUUCUUUAGUGUCGCUGGACCACAAAUUGUUAUGAGAACUUUCUAGCUUACUGCUGUUUCAGGGCAGUCUCUCUAUGUCGGAGUCACAUGUCAUCUUAUUGAUUAACGUUCGGGUCAAACUUUCGACAUGAUGGUUGCUUGGGAAUCCUUCUGAUGCAAGCCGCUCAUUGCUCAAUGUAAGCCUCUUUGGAUUUCUGCGUUUGCAAUCUGGUGAGUAAAUAUCAGAUAUGAUCGUGUUGACUUCUUCAUCAGCUGGUGCUCCGCCUCAUUUCUUUGUUAGUGACAAGUUUCGAAUGGACUAGAAAGGUAAGUAAACACUUUCAUUUCUUCAGGUAAAAUUUAACUGAAAUAUGAAUCUUCGAAAAUCCUUGAAUACUUUCUAGAACAAAAAAAAAAACUAAACACAUUGUGCUGACAGUUUCUGGUUCAGGAACUCAAAAGAGGUGAAAACAUUACAAAAAACUUCCUGGGUAUUUCGACCACUGGCAUCAUGCCUCUUCACAUCAGAGGUGAGGUCGAGGCUAUCCGCAUCCUUUAUGUCCCACCAGUCAUACCAAUGCGGAAGGAUGACAUGGUUAAUCAGAAUACAAAGAACAUAAGGCUCUAUGUACGAGUUUUCAUUCGAUGAUUGUGAUGGGGAGUUGGUGAGAGAAGCGUUUCUUGGUGUGGCCUUUCAAGAAAUCUAUAUUUCUAUUUUGUCUUCUAUCUGCUUUUGUGGUGUUUUGGUGCUUCGGAAACUGUUUCCUUGCACACGAUCUUUCACUGAGCUGUGUCAUGAGAUUUUCAAGAAAGAUGUAUCCCAUACAUCAGAAUGAGGCUUUGUUCACAAAACCCCAAGUCAAGUUGAAGAGUCAAGACAAACUAAGUGUUCUGUCCUCUUUCUCUGCUCAGCUCAACGGUAAGAAUAGAGGAGGUGACAGUCAGUCAAGGUACGGCAAAGCUGAAGAAUCAAAUCGAGCUGCAUAAUAGAUUUGGGGCUCUUGGAUCUCGAACUGUGACGUGUCGUUAGUACACGAGCUAUGUGCUUUAGGGUUUCUGUAAUCUUCUAUAUUGGCAACUCUCUGUAAAUGCUAAGCUAAAAGAUACUCAAAGUUUUUACAAA